rnacentral:rRNA from 1 species
UCCGGUUGAUCCUGCCRGACCCGACUGCUAUCAGAGUGGGACUAAGCCAUGCGAGUCAACAUAGCAAUAUGUGGCAUACGGCUCAGUAACACGUAGUCAACAUGCCCAGGGGACGUGGAUAACCUCGGGAAACUGAGGAUAAACCGCGAUAGGUCAUCACUUCUGGAAUGGGUAAUGACUUAAAUCUAUAUGGCCCCUGGAUUGGACUGCGGCCGAUCAGGCUGUUGGUGAAGUAAUGGCCCACCAAACCUGUAACCGGUACGGGCCCUGAGAGGAGGAGCCCGGAGAUGGGCACUGAGACAAGGGCCCAGGCCCUAUGGGGCGCAGCAGGCGCGAAAACUCUGCAAUAAGCGAAAGCUUGACAGGGUUAUUCUGAGUGAUUUCCGCUAAGGAAAUCUUUUGGCACCUCUAAAAAUGGUGCAGAAUAAGGGGUGGGCAAGCCUGGUGUCAGCCGCCGCGGUAAUACCAGCACCCCGAGUGGUCGGGACGAUUAUUGGGCCUAAAGCAUCCGUAGCCGGUUCUACAAGUCUUCCGUUAAAUCCACCUGCUUAACAGAUGGGCUGCGGAGGAUACUAUGGAGCUAGGAGGCGGGAGAGGCAAGCGGUACUUAGUGGGUAGGGGUAAAAUCCGUUGAUCCAUUGAAGACCACCAGUGGCGAAGGCGGCUUGCCAGAACGCACUCGACGGUGAGGGAUGAAAGCUGGGGGAGCAAACCGGAUUAGAUACCCGGGUAGUCCCAGCUGUAAACGAUGCAGACUCGGUGAUGAAUAGGCUUCGUGCCUCUUCAGUGCCGCAGGGAAGCCGUUAAGUCUGCCGCCUGGGGAGUACGGUCGCAAGACUGAAACUUAAAGGAAUUGGCGGGGGAGCACCACAAGGGGUGAAGCCUGCGGUUCAAUUGGAKUCAACGCCGGRA